rnacentral:rRNA from 1 species
CUAGGGAUAGAUACCCUAUUAUUAUAAAUGUAAAAUUAAACUAGAUUAGUAUUAGUUAUGUUCUUGAAAAUUAAAAAUUUUGGCGGUUUUUUAGUCUAUUCAGAGGAACCUGUUCUAUAAAUGAUAGUCCACGAUUUAAAUGUCCUUUAUUAAUAGUUUGUAUAUCGUCGUAGUUUGAAUAUUUUAAAAGAAUUUUAAUAUUCAAAAUUUAUUUAAAUAAAGAAUAUCAGAUCAAGGUAUAGCUUAUAUAAAGGUAGAAAUGGGUUACAUUAAUUUUAAUUUUGGAUUAUUAAUUUAAAAUUAAUAUGAAAAAGGAUUUGAUAGUAAUUUUUAAAAAUUUUAAUAAUGAUUUUAGCUCUAAAAAAUGUACAUAUCGCCCGGUCGCU